rnacentral:rRNA from 1 species
GAUGGACUGCCUUUUGCAUAAUGAGCCUGCGAGUUGUGAUGUCUGGCGAGGUUAAGGAAACCCGGAGCCGUAGCGAAAGCGAGUCUUAAUAGGGCGUUUAGUCAGACGUUGCAGACCCGAAACGAUGUGAUCUAUCCAUGAGCAGGUUGAAACCGGUGUAAGAGCCGGUGGAGGACCGAACCCGCUAGCGUUGAAAAGCUAUGGGAUGACUUGUGGAUAGGGGUGAAAGGCCAAUCAAACAUCGUGAUAGCUGGUUCUCUCCGAAAUAUAUUUAGGUAUAGCGUCAUGUAGUAACACUAGGGGGUAGAGCACUGAAUGGGCUAGGGCAUACACCAAUGUACCAAACCCUAUCAAACUCCGAAUACCUAGUGUGUAAUCAUGGCAGUCAGGCGGCGAGUGAUAAAAUCCGUCGUCGAGAGGGGAACAACCCAGACUAACAGCUAAGGUCCCUAAAUCUCAUUUAAGUGGAAAACGAUGUGGAGUUACUUAAACAACCAGGAGGUUGGCUUAGAAGCAGCCAUCCUUUAAAGAAAGCGUAAUAGCUCACUGGUCUAGUGAUUCUGCGCGGAAAAUAUAACGGGGCUAAAAUGAGUACCGAAGCUUUAGACUUAGUUUUACUAAGUGGUAGGAGAGCGUUGUAUUUGCGUUGAAGGUAUACCGGUAAGGAGUGCUGGAGCGAAUACAAGUGAGCAUGCAGGCAUGAGUAGCGAUAAUUGGGGUGAGAAUCCCCAACGCCGUAAACCCAAGGUUUCCUACGCGAUGCUCGUCAUCGUAGGGUUAGCCGGGUCCUAAGCAAAGUCCGAAAGGGGUAUGCGAUGGAAAAUUGGUUAAUAUUCCAAUGCCAACUAUAAUGUGCGAUGGAAGGACGCUUAGAGUUAGAGGAGCCAGCGGAUGGUAGUGCUGGUCGAAAGGUGCAGGUUGGAGUUCAGGCAAAUCCGAACUCCUUUAAGCCGAGGCCUUACAGGUGCGUGAAGUUCUUCGGAAUGAAUCGUAAAUCCUUGAUACUGUCGAGCCAAGAAAAGUUUCUAAGUUUAGUUAUAGUUGCCCGUACCGUAAACCGACACAGGUGGGUGGGAUGAGUAUUCUAAGGCGCGUGGAAGAACUCUCUUCAAGGAACUCUGCAAAAUAGCACCGUAUCUUCGGUAUAAGGUGUGCCUAACUUUGUGAAGGAUUUACUCCGUAAGCAUUGAAGGUUACAACAAAGAGUCCCUCCCGACUGUUUACCAAAAACACAGCACUCUGCUAACUCGUAAGAGGAUGUAUAGGGUGUGACGCCUGCCCGGUGCUCGAAGGUUAAUUGAUGACGUUAGCUCUGCGAAGCGUUUGAUCGAAGCCCGAGUAAACGGCGGCCGUAACUAUAACGGUCCUAAGGUAGCGAAAUUCCUUGUCGAUUAAAUAUCGACCUGCAUGAAUGGCGUAACGAGAUGGGAGCUGUCUCGAAGAGGGAUCCAGUGAAAUUGUAGUGGAGGUGAAAAUUCCUCCUACCCGCGGCAAGACGGAAAGACCCCGUGGACCUUUACUACAGCUUGACACUGCUAUUGGGAUAAAAAUGUGCAGGAUAGGCGGGAGGCUUUGAUCCAUAGACGCCAGUUUAUGGUGAGCCAUUGUUGAGAUACCGCUCUUUUUUAUUCUGAUAGCUAACUAGCUUGAGUUAUCCUCAAGUAGGACAAUGUCUGGUGGGUAGUUUGACUGGGGCGGUCGCCUCCCAAAAUGUAACGGAGGCUUACAAAGGUUGGCUCAGAACGGUUGGAAAUCGUUCGUAGAGUAUAAAGGCAUAAGCCAGCUUAACUGCGAGACAUACACGUCAAGCAGAGACGAAAGUCGGUCUUAGUGAUCCGGUGGUUCUGUGUGGAAGGGCCAUCGCUCAAAGGAUAAAAGGUACCCCGGGGAUAACAGGCUGAUCUCCCCCAAGAGCUCACAUCGACGGGGAGGUUUGGCACCUCGAUGUCGGCUCAUCGCAUCCUGGGGCUGGAGCAGGUCCCAAGGGUAUGGCUGUUCGCCAUUUAAAGCGGUACGCGAGCUGGGUUCAGAACGUCGUGAGACAGUUCGGUCCCUAUCCUCUGUGGGCGUAGGAAAAUUGAGGGAGGCUGCCCCUAGUACGAGAGGACCGGGGUGGACGGACCUCCGGUGUACGGGUUGUUAACCAAUAGCAUUGCCCGGUAGCUGAGUCCGGUCGGGAUAACCGCUGAAAGCAUCUAAGCGGGAAGCCCAUCCCAAGAUGAGUUUUCCUUUCGGUAAGACCCCUUGU